CUCAGGCAUUAUCAGUCAAUUGGGAGCUCAGCAGCAUGAAAGAGGUGGAUCUGUCUCUGAGCUGAGUACUUGGAAUCUGUCUGAAUUUCGGCUAUGUCUACAACUGAAUUUCAGCUUUUUGCUAAUAAGUUAAUGAAUGGUAUGAAAUUGUGAAUUGGAACUAUUAUUUUUUUUCUAAUCACAUCAGGAAAAGAUUGAAUGCAGGAAACCUGAAGUUGAUUCAAGUGAUGCAGUGUUACAUAAUAUGUAUUAAGCCUGUGGAAAGCUUUGCCAUGAGCUAUCCACAGAUGCUUCUGAGGAUAUAAGGAUCAUCCAGAACUGCCUUGGAUAAGAUUUAAACUGUUUCAGGGGACUGUGAGUUCAAAAUGGAAUAAGCCUUUCAUUGAUUAUCUGCUGUUCCUAUGUGCCAGUUAUUCAUUAACUGACCAUGUCAGGUAACAUUACUUGCUUGUUUCUGGCCACUCAUUGGAAGCACAUCAAAUGGAAUAGAUUUUAUGCCAGUUGUCUGCUAUGAUGCUGCAGUUUCUGUGUUUGCUAUCAAUUGUGAGUUUAGACAGGUUUAAAUUAUGUUAAUUAGUCUAUUUUGAUGUCAGCGUUCCCUGUCUGUUGAGACUGACACAGCUCCACCCACCUAUUAAUGAAUAUGUUAAUUAAGUCAUAUUAGACACCUGAAUAUGGCUCUGGAGCCAAGGGAAUAGUGACAGCUGAUGGCCCUUCAGGGCACAAAUGGUUUCUCACUACGAUCAAUAUUCUCCACUGCUGAAAAUGCUUCUUACUGUUUUGGACUUCCACUCACUUAACUCUCCCUCCGGCAGUUGUUUACAAUACUGAAGUGCAACCAAGAGUUCAAGCAGAGUAGCCUUAAAAGCUGCCUUAAUGACAUCUAUAGAAAAAUCAUCCAACUCAGCCUUCAUCUUCAGACAGAAGAGCGAGAGUGAGUCAAUACAGAUCGGGUGGCCAAACAGCACCCAAGCUUUGUCAAAGCCAAAUUACACAUAGUGAGAGGAUCCACCUGAUAGAGAAAGACUGUAGAACACUACUUGUACAUGUCAAAGAAUCUCACAGAGGUAAAUAUUAAUUCACUUAGGUUUUUUGGGUUUUUUUUUAUUAUGACUAAGUUCCAGACCAGCUGAUGGCUUUGUUCAGAGAGUUUUACAGUAUCUCUGAGCACAUUUAAAGUUUUAUGCACACAUUUAAAGGAAAAUGCACAUAAAAUGCUGGAGACAUGUCCGGCAAUGGAGACAUGUCCAAAAAUUACAUUAUUCAUGUGGGGUAUGUUAUAAAGCCAGAAGAGGGUGAAAUUUUAAAGACAUUCUAAAAUAAAUAAAGAUGCUAGAUAUAAAAAUUUUCUGAA
rnacentral:lncRNA from 1 species